GUCCCAUCUUCCCUAACUGACUUAACACCGUCAACCUCUGGAACAAGGGGGACUUCAAUUCCACCUAUUCUUCCAAGAAAAAUUACCAAGCCUACUGGACCUGGAUCUACUCUGCAACCAACAAACCCCUCAAGGAAUACAGGAACCAGACCAUCUGCCAAGAGAAGCUUGCAUUAUCUAGAACAGCUGGAACCAAACACAAAGAAAAAAAGUCUCAGUCCAGCACAAGAAGUAAUGAUUGAAUUGGCAAGAGAAGAGCAUGCAUGGCUCAAACGUGAGCAUGAAUUAAGAGUUGAAAUCCUUCAGCUAGAAAUACAAACUGCACAAUACAAGGAAGAGGAAGCUCGUAGAUCACUUAACAAGGUCAAUGCUAAUUUGAAUUCAGAUCCUUAAACUAUCUAUUUCAUAUAUUACAAAUUAAUAAUUUGGAAUAAUAUAAAUGUGUAUUUAACUAUGCAUACCAUAACAUUCUUAGCUUAUCUACUUGUCUAC